AACCUUAUGGACCUGCGGGCGUAUACCUGCGGAAGGAUCAUUACAGAGUUGCAAGACUCCCUAAACCAUUGUGAACCUACCUUCUACCGUUGCUUCGGCGGGCGGGCCCAGCGCCCCCCCGGCCCCCCGCGGGCGCCCGCCGGAGGAUACCCAAACUCUUGACAUUAGUGGCCUCUCUGAGUAUUCUUUACUGAAUAAGUCAAAACUUUCAGCAACGGAUCUCAGAUCGGAAGAGCACAC
rnacentral:misc_RNA from 1 species